rnacentral:tRNA from 1 species
GGAGAGGUGUCCGAGAGGCCGAAGGAGCAUGACUGGAAAUCAUGUAUAGAUGUGAGUCUAUCGAGGGUUCGAAUCCCUCCCUCUCCGCCA